UACGUAGGGGGCAAGCGUUGUCCGGAAUUAUUGGGCGUAAAGAGCGUGUAGGCGGUCCGGUAAGUCGGCUGUGAAAGUCCAGGGCUCAACCCUGGGAUGCCGGUCGAUACUGCCGGACUAGAGUUCGGAAGAGGCGAGUGGAAUUCCCGGUGUAGCGGUGAAAUGCGCAGAUAUCGGGAGGAACACCUAUGGCGAAGGCAGCUCGCUGGGACGUUACUGACG
rnacentral:rRNA from 1 species